GGCACGAUCUCAGCUCACUGCAACCUCGGCCUCCUGGAUUCAAGCGAUUCUUCUGCCCCAGCCUCCCAAGUAGCUGGGAUUACAGGCACGUGCCACCACGCCUGGCUAAUUUUUGUGUUUUUAGUAGAGAUGGGGUUUCACCAUGUUGGUCAGGCUGGUCUCGAACUCCUGACCUCGUGAUCCACCCACCUCGGCCUCCCAAAGUGCUGGGAUUACACGCAUGAGCCACCAUGCCUGGCCUCGGAUGAGUCUUAGUAUAUGUUGUCAGUAGUAAUUAUGCUUAUCAUGUAAAAUUGUUGUAUGCCACAGAAGUAACUAAAUUUCCUUGUCAGUCCUGUCUAACUAUGACUGUUCUAAGAGUUUUGUCAUCCACAGUUGUUUUACUUUUAUCCUUUUUUUUUUCUGAGAAAGAGUCAUACUCUGUCACCCAGGCUGGAGUGCAGUGGUGCAAUCUUGGCUCAAUGCAAUCUCUGCCUCCCGAAUUCAAGUGAUUCUUCCACCUCAGCCUCCCAAGUAGCUGGGAUUACAGGUGCAUGCCACCAUGCCCAGCUAAUUUUUGUAUUUUUAGUAAAGAUAGGGUUUUGCCAUGUUGGCCAGGCUAAUCUCAAACUCCUGACCUCAAGUGAUCCACCCACCUCAGCUUUCCAAAGUGCUGGGAUUACAGACAUGAGCCACUGUGCCCAGCCUACUUUUAUCCUUUUCAAAAGGUGAUUUUAUAAAUAGCUAUAUGACUCUGACAGGUGCUUUUGAAUGCAGGUUUCUGAUAACUUGGGAGAUUGUGACACUAGAAUAGAGGAGAAACAUCUAAGACUCCUGUAGACAGUUAAUGUGUUCAUAAACAUUGAGCAGAACCGGAGUUAAUUACAUGGACUAAACUAAUGGAAAACUGAAAUAAUCUUUUUAUGACUUUGUUUGAAACAUUGGUAAUUCUUUUGUUUCUGAGUCCAGAAAACCCUUUUUCUUUGAGCUAUUUACAGCUUUUAACAAUUGGGUAAACUAAAUUCCCGUGAGCAAAAUCUGAAGCAUAUUCCUCUACCUGAAUUCUCCAGAAUUUGAAAACUAUUAGCAAGUAUACUUAAUUUAUAGCAGUCUAGUUAUUUGCAUAAGUUCAAUAAGAAUCUGUUUUCUUUUGUAACAGGAUACAAUUGAAGACACUGGUUAUUUUACCAAGGCUUUGAUUGGAAUGGCUUACUUUCAGAUAUAAAUCAACUGCUUUAAGGAAUCAAAGUUGACUUACAGAGUCAUAAAAGCCCCUUGGGAAAGCUGGCCUCAUGCCUUUCCACACAGUUCCUGUACAGUUUCCUGACGUGUGUUAUGCUGUGCUUUCUUAAAACCCUGUGAACUGAAGCUACACAACUUAAACUUCAGAAGAAAAUAACAGCAACCUAUAUGCCAGCCUACUGAUGUAUGAACUUCAGAGAAAAAUGGCUCUAUCUUUUCAUUUGUUUGUUGUUUUCUUUCUUUCUGUCCCUAUUUUCUGUUUGUAGAACAUGAUACUUUACAACCUGCUAAAAAUGAGCUUUUCUAAUAAUGUGAGACCUACCUGUCUAGAAUAGAUCAUCCUAGCUAUAAGUGAUCAGAAAAACCUGAGACUGGAGACUCAUUUUCUUCUAAAAUGCUCUUUCUGAAAGAUUUUAAAAAGAAACAGAAAAAAUGUGAAAGGAAAAUAAAUCUCGGAUUCCAAAAUCACUAAGCCAAGGGAAAAGUCAAGCUGGAAACUAUGUCAGGCGAACCUACCUCCCAUUUUAUUCCUAAAUAAGACAGCUACAAAGAUAAAAAAAAAAUCUCCCUCACAAUUUGCCCACAAGGAAAUUUCUUGUGGGCCUCAAGAUCUUUACCCUGAAACAGUUCUGUUGAAUUUCACCCUGGCAAUGUAAACUGAUAGCUUAUUUUCACAGAUGUGGGACAGGAAGUCAUCCCUCUGCUCACCUGAGACAAUUGCAUAUCCGAUUGCUUCCUGUGCCCUAUUGUUUAUGUAAAAAUGCAGAUACACUGAGAC
ensembl:lncRNA novel transcript